GCCCCAUUAGUAUUUCCGUGUAAUAAGAUUACGUAAUCUGUAUGAAUAAAGAUAGCUUUGCUUUUUCCUUUCCAGUCUAGAUACUUUAUUUCUUUUUUCUUACCUAACUGCUGAUCUGCUACUUUUGAGGGCAGCUCUUACAGGACUCCAGACCAUGAAAAAUUACAUUGACCUGAAAAAGGAAAGAAAGCUACGAAUGGAUAAAACUUGAACAUUUUCCAGCGUGCCAGGGACCAAAACAUCAAUUUAACCUCUUCACCAAAAAUUUCAGCUUUGUUUUUAGAGACUUUCUCUAUGGGAAAAGUGGAAGGUAGCAGAAAUAGAAUUGGCAGGAUUCACUUUACCAAUAGCUUUUCCAUGAAGUGGGAAGACCUUUUUAUUUUACUCUCAAUGUCAUAACGAAGGUAAAGCAUUUUAUAAACUGUUGACAACAAUUCUAGAUAAACUCAGAAUGCUGUCAGAUCGGAGGCCCUCAUUACCGAGUGCAGAGCAGAAAAAUCUGCAGUAAGAAAAGGAGAUUAAAUUAGAGAAGACCUCAAUGUAACUGUAAAUUUCUCUUGGACACCAUGAAAAUGGAGCCAUUAAAAAGAAUACAUUUAACCAAA